GUGAAGGAGACAAGAAAUAGAUCGGGUAGGGUAUAUUUCAAUUGGGAAGAAGGAAAAUCGAAUCUCUUGUUUAUAACAAGAGAAUAAUUGAUAGAUGGUUUGAGAGAGGUAAGAAACCUCAUCAAAUAUUGAUAGAUGGUUUGAGAGAGGAAUUUUCCAACAAUGAGAUUUGGUGGUAGGAUUUUGUAUAGCAAGACUACUAUUGAGGUUGAUAAGCGAGGAUUGCAGCUUCUUAAGGUUCUUGAAACCAAGAGAGAUGAAUCUGGAAAAGCUUUUGUUGGCUUUGAUAUUGAGUGGAAACCAAGAAUUAGAAAAUGUGCUUUUGUUAACCUUCAGUUUUUCCUUUUUUGUGUCUGAUUGCAGGUUUUGUCUUUUUCGUUUGCAUUUCUUAAAGUAUGCAAUGUGAUAUGCAUCUAGAACUGUAUUUUAUCUCUAUGGAUGCAUAUGUUGUCUUUUCUACUUUCUCUUUAUAUAUCUUGAUGAUUAAUGAU
rnacentral:misc_RNA from 1 species